GUGGGGAAUAUUGGACAAUGGGCGCAAGCCUGAUCCAGCCAUGCCGCGUGAGUGAUGAAGGCCUUAGGGUUGUAAAGCUCUUUCAGUGGGGACGAUAAUGACGGUACCCACAGAAGAAGCCCCGGCUAACUUCGUGCCAGCAGCAGCGGUAAUACGAAGGGGGCUAGCGUUGUUCGGAUUUACUGGGCGUAAAGCGCACGUAGGCGGAUCGUUAAGUCGGGGGUGAAAUCCUGGAGCUCAACUCCAGAACUGCCUUCGAUACUGGCGAUCUUGAGUCCGGAAGAGGUGAGUGGAACUCCUAGUGUAGAGGUGGAAUUCGUAGAUAUUAGGAAGAACACCAGUGGCGAAGGCGGCUCACUGGUCCGGUACUGACGCUGAGGUGCGAAAGCGUGGGGAGCAAACAGGAUUAGAAACCCGGGUAGUCC
rnacentral:rRNA from 1 species